rnacentral:rRNA from 1 species
CCCUUAGAUGUCCUGGGCCGCACGCGCGCUACACUGAUGCAUUCAACGAGUUCACCUUGGCCGAGAGGCCUGGGCAAUCUUUUAAACGUGCAUCGUGAUAGGGAUAGAUUAUUGCAAUUAUUAAUCUUGAACGAGGAAUUCCUAGUAAACGCAGAUCAUCAAUCUGCAUUGAUUACGUCCCUGCCCUUUGUACACACCGCCCGUCGCACCUACCGAUUGAAUGGUCCGGUGAAGCCUCGGGAUUGUGGUUAGCUCGCUUUAUUGGGAGUUGAUCGCGAGAACUUGUCUAAACCUUAUCAUUUAGAGGAAGGUGAAGUCGUANCA